UACAGAGGUCUCAAGCGUUGUUCGGAUUCAUUGGGCGUAAAGGGUGUGUAGGUGGCGCGCUAAGUCGGGUGUGAAAUUUCGGGGCUUAACUCCGAAACUGCAUUCGAUACUACCGUGCUUGAGGACUGGAGAGGAGACUGGAAUUUACGGUGUAGCGGUGAAAUGCGUAGAUAUCGUAAGGAAGACCAGUGGCGAAGGCGGGUCUCUGGACAGUUCCUGACGCUGAGGCACGAAGGCCAGGGGAGCAAACGGG
rnacentral:rRNA from 1 species